rnacentral:lncRNA from 1 species
GAAAAGUAGAGUCUGUCAGAGUGACCAGGAGUGGUCUUAUUUUCAUUAAUUGUAUUUCUGAAGAACAGAGGAAUAUUGCAGUUGGUCUCAAAAGAAUCCGGACGAUAGAAGUUUUGUGUUUUGAACUUCGGAGUAGAGCACCUGUCAAAGGAGUCAUCUCAGGGUGACGAAGGAUGUUCAGGUUGAAUCCCUGAAGAGAAUUCCUUGUGUGGUUGGUGCCUGGCCUCUGAUCCGCUGGGUGAAUGGAGGAAAUUAAGAAAGUCCGUUGGUCUUGGUUAUCCAAAUCAGGAUGCCAAACCCACCGCCCUAUGGGACUCCCAAUCACAACCGGAUGUGACACAGCCUGGAUUCAAACCAGAGACUGUAGUGGACACCUCUUGAACUGAGAUGCAGUGCCUUAGACCGCUGUGCCACUUGGGAGCCCAAUGAACAGAGUACACUGAAGAACAGUGUGUAGAAGGACGACAGUGUUGUAAUUAUGGUGGGGAUCAUGAUCCUGAGUUCCUGGAGUGCCCUGUAAGGGUGAAGGAAAUUGAGUUGGCAAAAGUUAGAGCAGUCAAUCAAAUCUCCUAUACGGGGUGAUCAAAAUAAUUGAGAAAACAAAUGAUGCUAGUAAAGAAAUGGAGGUGGUUUUUGUUGCGUUCAUUGCCACAGUCUUUACAACUUCUUGAUCAAACAUCAUUUUGUCAGAGAAAGAAAAUCAUGAGCUUCCGAAAUUGGUAACACUGAAGUCAAAGUUCGGUAGGAAGGGCCAGCAAGCUAAAAUGAGUGAAUCGUUUGAGCAGAGUUGAGUAGCUAUGCCAGACCUUCUCAACUCUGCUCGAACACUUGCAGCAUUAUAGCUAGCUAGUCUAUGGUAGUCUCGGUUAAUGAUAUUAGAUAUGUUUUUCUUUGAUCGUUGUGUUUGGUUUGGAUAUGUGUACUAAAUAGCCCUCUACUUUUCUUUAUUUUACAAAACACAAACACCAUCGAAUGGAGACACCAGUUUUUUUUUUCUGUCACCCAGCACUGCCUGUUCACCAACCCACAGCACUUACUGGUCAUCAUCCAUCUCCUACACUGAGCUGCAGUACAGAAUGGAAAACCAUCUCCAUGCAGGCCCUGGGAAGCCCUAUCCUGGGCCCAUCUCCAAGACCUACUCCACUUGCUUGCUCCUCAGUGAUGCCACAGAGCAGCAGCAGUAGUAGCAGGGGUGUGAGAAAGGGAGGAAAGAGCUGCAGACUCAGCCCUUGACACAUCACUGGCAAAGACAUUGCAAACGAUUGAAGACAGAUCUCAAAAAUCUGGAGAACGUCAUGCACUGAGCCAGCAGCUUGUCCCAGAG